UACGUAGGGUGCAAGCGUUGUCCGGAAUUAUUGGGCGUAAAGAGCUCGUAGGCGGUUCGUCACGUCGGCUGUGAAAUCCCGAGGCUCAACCUCGGGUCUGCAGUCGAUACGGGCGGACUUGAGUACUGCAGGGGAGACUGGAAUUCCUGGUGUAGCGGUGAAAUGCGCAGAUAUCAGGAGGAACACCAGUGGCGAAGGCGGUGCUCUGGGCCGGAACUGACGCUGAGGAGCGAAAGCGUGGGGAGCAAACAGG
rnacentral:rRNA from 1 species